CUACGGGCGGCAGCAGUGGGGAAUAUUGCACAAUGGGCGCAAGCCUGAUGCGGCCAUGCCGCGUGUAUGAAGAAGGCCUUCGGGUUGUAAAGUACUUUCAGCGGGGAGGAAGGGAGUAAAGUUAAUACCUUUGCUCAUUGACGUUACCCGCAGAAGAAGCACCGGCUAACUCCGUGCCAGCAGCCGCGGUAAUACGGAGGGUGCAAGCGUUAAUCGGAAUUACUGGGCGUAAAGCGCACGCAGGCGGUUUGUUAAGUCAGAUGUGAAAUCCCCGGGCUCAACCUGGGAACUGCAUCUGAUACUGGCAAGCUUGAGUCUCGUAGAGGGGGGUAGAAUUCCAGGUGUAGCGGUGAAAUGCGUAGAGAUCUGGAGGAAUACCGGUGGCGAAGGCGGCCCCCUGGACGAAGACUGACGCUCAGGUGCGAAAGCGUGGGGAGCAAACAGGAUUAGAUACCCGCGUAGUC
rnacentral:rRNA from 1 species